rnacentral:lncRNA from 1 species
UGGAAGUUUACAAAUUCUCUACCCAAGACUGGUAUCACAGUACUCACGAAAUUUUAAGAGUUACUAAAUACAACCUUCUGAAAGAAAUCUCAACAGUCUGUUUCAAUAUAAAACUAACAAACUGAAUAAUGAUAGAAGAGACUCCGGGCUUGCGGACGUUAGCGAGGCUACCUCAAGAGUCCUGGACAGAAGGUCUGCACCCGAUCUAGUACUACUGCGGUCCGAAAUCUGUUUCCUGAUCUGUGCAAAAGAAAUGCACAGAGUAUAGCAUCAGCACAACCGACCCCAUGUGCUGGUAAGUGCCUGGCCUAACCGCGACGAGGUAGUGACGAGGCUUGACAUGACCUACCACAAAUAACCUGUACAGAUAUAUGUGCAAUAACAGGAAAUAUACCAAUGUAAACAAUUAAAGUAAGGGGAAACAUGAUGUGGGGUACGCCAGUCUAAACAUAGAAAUUCAUUGGUAAACAAAUGGAACAGAACAAUAACAACUGAUAAGAAAACACAGGAAAUCUCUACAUAUGAAAACAAUACACUCAGACCAUACUUCAUUGCGGCGCGCAACUCGAUCCUCAAAUAUGUCCGUUGCGAGAGCUACCCGAUCCUAAAAUAUAUAUCUAUUACAACGAGAAACCCGAUCCUCAACAUUUAAUACCGUUGCGGCGUGCAACCCGAUCUUCAACAAUCAAUACCGUUGCGACGUGCAACCCGAUCCUGAUAAUUAACAAUAUGAACUCAGCCAAAAAACAAUCGCAUCUCAAGUGCAAGAGGGAGAAACAACAAUACACAGAGGAGUCCCGGUGAGGGAACACGAUUAACAGCUCAAACGUCCCGGCAAGGGAGAAAAUAAUAAAUACUUAAAUCCCGACAAGGGAAUAAUCACAACAAUUCCUUUUUAACUAUUUACUCCUCGAACAACAAUUUCUAGUCUGAGCGAAUGCUCCAGGUGACAAACUAAUCACAAACUUUCCUCAAUUAUUCACUUUUCAUAUUAUACUUAUCAACCAAGCAAGAAUUGUAUCAUUAAGUUCGAAUCCAACACAUAUAUAAGACCCAUGGUCAUGCUAAACUCCGGUGCAUAGGUAACUAUAACCAUACCUAUACACCAUACUCCAUAAUUAGCAAGUACCAAAUAAUAUCCUAAUCCUAAUCCCUCAAGCCAAAGUUAGAACAAACACUUACCUCGAAAGCUCCAAACUUAACUCACGCCUCUAGAAUAGCUUUAUCCCUCGAAUUCGCCACAGAAUCGCUCGAAUAUAGUCACAAAUUACUCAAAUGUAUCAACAAAUUCUAGUUAAAUCAAUUUGAAUGCAUAAGAAUGAAUUUCCUAAAGUUUUACCCAAAAAUUCCCAAAAUUCCCCCGGGCCCACGUUGUCAAAACCCGAGGUUCGAACAAAAACCGGGUUAUUCAUUCCCCCACGAGUUCAUAGCUAUGUUCUUUUUUGAAAUCGGACUUCAAAUAGAGGUCCAAAUCCCCAAUUUAGCGAAAACCUAAGUUCUACACAAAAUCUCCAUUUUUACCCAUGGAAAACCUUGAUUUUAAGAUGAAAACAUGAUAAAAUAUGUUAAAGAUUGAAGAAAUUGAGUAAGAGCUGACUUAUAAAUGAUUUGGGAAGGACGGAGUUUGUGAGAAAUCUCCAAUGGGUAUUUGGGUUUUGAAAAUAUGAAAAAUGAGCUUUAAAAUCGUCUAAGUAUGAAAUGUGCAGGUGCCUGUAUCGCAAUUGUGAAGUUCGCAAUCGCGAACCCAGUAGACUUGGGAAUUGCAAGAUAAUUGCUCGCAUUUGCAAACUCAUGCAAGAAAGGUAGACUUCGCAUUUGCGAAGAGGGUGUUCGCAUUUGCGAACUCAGUGCCUAAGGUUGAGGGAUCGCACUUACGAUGAAGUCUUCGCAGUUACGAAGACUAGGAUUAAGGGAGGGCAUCACAUUUGUGAUGUUUUUCUUCGCAUUUGCGAUGUUUUUAUUUGCAUUUGCGAAGUUAACAGUCCAGGGGGAAUUUCGCAUUUGCGAGUACUGGCUUCGCAUUUGCGAAGCCUGCAGAACUGAAGCACCAGAUUUUUCAACAAUGAUAAAUGCAAUUCGAUGCCUAUCCAAAACUCUCCCGAGCCCUCGAGGCUCCAAACCUAUUAUGCACACAACUUCAAAAACAUCCAACGGACUUAGUCGCGCGAUCAAAUGUCCAAAAUAAUAUCAUAAACAUAGAAUCAAACCUCAAAACUCAUUAUUUUUUUCUAAGUUUCAUAAACUUUCAAACUUGGAACUCAUAGUCAAAAACACGUCAUACGACAUAUGUUUUUAACCAAACUUCACAGAAAGCACUUAACACUCAUUUAAGACAUGUACCCGGAACCAAAUACGAACCCGAUAUCUAUAUUUUCUAACUUAUUUUCAUUUCAAGUUUUCCAUAUCAUUUCCAAGUAAAUAAUUUCUUUAAAUAAAUUUCAUACUCGGGCUUGGGACCUCGGGUUUCGAGUCCGAUAUUAUCCUACGAACCUCCCAGGACCGUCACAUCACGGGUCCGGGUUCGUUUACCCAAAACGUUGACCAAAGUCAACUAUAUCAAUAUUAAUAUAAAAAUUCUUUAAAUUUUCCACAUAAUUCACAUAUUUUAACAUAAACAAUUUCCUGUUUUAUGCCUCACCUGCACACGUAAAUCGAGGCAACUAAAAUGAGGUUUUCAAGUCCUCAGAAGCAUGGGAAAAUGGUGAAUUACGGUGAUAACCCUUUGGGUCGUCACUCAAGCAGGCUCGAAAAUGUGUACAUGGGAAUCAAUUUACAACAGAUGAAUAAGGAGGUCAGCAGCAAUUAACAAAUGUAACAGCAGAUCAACGAUCACCAGCAACAAAUAGGGCCAAACUUAUGGCUAAACCAAAGUCAAAAUGCCCAGGAAGAAAGAGAAUCGACCAAAACCACACUGAACUUAUCAGAAAUUGGACUAGGAAAGUUACAAAUCACUUUAGACCACCAGAACUAACCAGCAACAACUCGAACACAUUCAAAUAAACUCAAAACUGAAAUCAAAUGAUCCAGCACACUUUCAGCAACUAGAAAUGUCCCACCACGACUUGAAUAAAUCCCUAAACUGCUCUAGAUGGCUAUGAAUUUGAAAAUCACCUAAGGAAGGCAAUGAAACAGUAAUUUGUUUUUGAUUUUUCCUGUUUUUUGUUGUUUUUGGAUUUUGAAUGUUUAAAUUACAAGUUUAGAUCUGAAAAGCAGAGCAGAGCUUUUUUUUAGGGAAUAUUAGGGCUUCUCAACUUCUUAGAGAAGGAAAGUAAGUUGCCUUUUAUAGGCACGCAUGAAAGACUCAAUCAGAUUUUCUGUUUUCUCUUUUAGUCCCUCUCAUUUUCAGUUUUAGUCCUUCAUUUAUUAACUUGUUACACAAGCUAGUGCCCUAAAUUAACUAAAACACACUAAAGUACUAUUCUAGAAGGCCCUAGGGUGUUCUUCUACCCAUACAAAUACCUAUACUAUCCUUGCCUUUGUUUUGAAAUUACUAUUCCUGAUAAAAAUCAGCCAUUUUCCAUGCCCAAACUACCCCUGAAAAUCUCUUGAAAUUACCAACACUAAUUAAACUUCUAACAUCUAUAACCAAUCACCUAAACUAACUAAAACUAAUUAAUGGAAAUUGAAACUCAAGCCUUAAUGAACACUAGUAUCCUAUAAUCCCAACAGCACAUUAACCAUUAUCUAAUAAGGAAAAAUGGAAACUAGAAUAGAAAUCACAUCAAUGGCACCCAAUUACAUGUCGAAGUCAGAAACAUGAAGGUAUGAAUCAACAGAAUCGAAAUUAGAGACAGGAAAACUGGAAAGAAAUGAAAAUCAAAUUAAACUAAUUCACUCAAUAACUUAAAAUCAAGAAACUAACCACUGAAUCAAAAGAACUGGAAUCAGAAAUUAGGCGACGAAGUGAAAAACUAGAAAUCAAAACAUAGGAGAACAAAAUUAUAAUAAAAAUAAAUAUAGAAUCAAACGAGAUGAAAGAACAAACUGAUUUCUGGGAGUUGAACUGACUUGAACUUGAAUUGGGCUCCCAAAUAACAUUAUACGUUUGUUUUGGUGAGAACAACCGUAUGAGGUUAUUAGGAACUCAAAUCGACCCUGGACACCCUCAUUUUAAAAAACCCUAAAUUAACGAUUCAAUGGGUUCCAGUGGUGUUUGAUGACAACCAAGUGGAGAUUUAGUAUGAGUAAGGGAAGGUGAUUGUGUGGUGUAAAUUUGGGCCGGUUUGGGCGAGUUUGCGCCUUGGCCAGAAAAUUUAGAUUCAAGAUUCGCGGGCCUGGGAUGGGAUUGGAGAAAAGAUAAUAUGGGGGUUAGAAAGAGGAGAGAAAGAUGGUUCUAGGCUGUAAAUUUCAAGGGAUUUGGAGGUGGGCUGCCGGUGGCAACGAUUCCCGGCCGUCAGCGUACGGUGGGAGAUGAAGGGGUGAAGGUGGCGUUAUGCCGGCGUUACAGGGAGGGGUUGUACGAGGAUGAUGUGUUUUUUUAGUGUUAGAGGGGAUUUUCGGAUAGUUUUAAUUAAGAAAGGGGAUUGAUUGUGAGCUGUUGAAUGAAUGAGAAUGAAGGGCCGUGAUUGAUCGACGCAAAAACGGCAUCGUUUGGGGGACUGUUGAGCUGAACUGUGUCAUGGGUUGUCGUGAACUGGGUGAUUGUAUUUGGGUGGAAGCUGGCAUUAAUUAAACAAAGAGCCCAAUUCGUGGGUCUCUUAUC